rnacentral:misc_RNA from 1 species
AAGUCGUAACAAGGUUUCCGUAGGUGAACCUGCGGAAGGAUCAUUACAACACCCUUUUUUUUUUUUCUUUAAUGAAAAAAAACCCCCUUUUGUUGAACUUUUAAUUUUAUUUUUGUUUUUUUGUAUUACUGAGAUUUUAUGUAUUCUUUUUUAUAUUUUGAUUAUGUAGUUAUAGGUUAAAAAGUUUGAAUUUUAUUCAGCUUUGAACCUUAUUGAUUAUAUAUCUGGAAUAAUGAAAGAAUAGAUAAAAUUCUUUUAAUAUACCCCCUAUCUUACAAUAACUUUUUAAUAAAUCUGUUAUAAACCUAAACAAUUAAAAACUUUUUUUUUUUUAUUAUUAUCUUUUGAUAACAAUAAAGAAAAAAAAAUAAAAUAAAUAAGAGAACAACUCUUAACAAUGGAUAUCUAGGCUCUCGU